ACAGUGCCAGCAGCCGCGGUAAUACGAAGGUGGCAAGCGUUGUUCGGAUUUACUGGGCGUACAGGGAGCGUAGGCGGUUGGAUAAGCCCUCCGUGAAAUCUCCAGGCUUAACCUGGAAAGUGCAGAGGGGACUGUUCAGCUAGAGGAUGGGAGAGGAGCGCGGAAUUCCCGGUGUAGCGGUGAAAUGCGUAGAGAUCGGGAGGAAGGCCGGUGGCGAAGGCGGCGCUCUGGAACAUUUCUGACGCUGAGGCUCGAAAGCGUGGGGAGCAAACAGGAUUAGAUACCCUGGUAGUCCACGCCUUAAACGAUGGAUACUAAGUGUCGGCGGGUUACCGCCGGUGCCGCAGCUAACGCAGUAAGUAUCCCGCCUGGGAAGUACGGCCGCAAGGUUGAAACUCAAAUGAAUUGACGGGUG
rnacentral:rRNA from 1 species